AGCACAACGACUGGACUCGCAACCAAUCGUGCAGAAGCCUCACCUGUUUAGAAAGGCUCAACAUACACAUCACGAAGUGCCGCAGGGAACACACGCGGUGCCGACUUAAGUCUUUCUAAAUGUUCGUUCUCCCGGCAGUCAGGCUACGCUUUGUAUUAGCACAAUUGCUUCCAUCACUUGUCGAGCACGCGCCCUUUCCCAUUGCCUCAAGGUCAACAUCGCUCCACCGGAGCUUGUCGCCUUCUUCGGGUUGCUGGAGCCUUCGACAGGCCAUUGGAAACGCAUGGUCAAGAUAUGGAAAUCGGAGUGCUGGAGGCAGGUGAGGCUUCUGCACGAUUGGUUGCGAGUCCAGUCGUUGUGGUGUGAACCUCUCCUCUUGUCCUUUGUGUUUUUGACUGGUUUUUUCCUUCAAGGAAAACCUGGCCCGAAAAAGUGAGAACCGCUAGCCAUAGAGUUUUAUACAAUAACUCUACGCCGCAAGCAUACCGCUAGUACCGCCAUAGAAUAAAGAACCAACUUUAGAGAAGGGAAACUGUACCUUCCGCAGUGGUGCGAAAAUAAGCAGCGGCAGCGCAUGGAACGUAGCGGGGCAGACGCGAGAUGGCGCUGCUCAACCAGAAAGCGGAAGUGUUUUUUUUUUUUUAGAGCAAAAUUCAAUAUGGCCGCUUUUCGCCGGUGGUGUGUGCUGGUACGGGCCGUGCUCGCCCUGCUGCCUAUGUGGCAUGCCUCAUUGCCUAGGCUGCCCCGUAGCUGGUGCACUCUAAUUGCCAGGAGACCAAAGAGCUUCUACUCACGCCCACACAAACAACCCACAAAUAUGCAAUGGCAAGCCCGUCUAUGUGUUCCAAAGGUAAAAUUUAAGCUCUAAAUUAAACAAGACAUUUCUACUGAGAAACAACAAGCAAGAAUGGUGAAUGCUUAGUAUCAGAAGCCGAAGAUACAGAAGUUAUGAGAAGUGCCGAAUGAUAUUAAGGAAAGAAUGGUAUUUGAAAAUUCAACACAUUGGUGGAGGUCAAGCAAGUCAAUAUAGGUAGAAUACUCUGCAAAAUUAUGCAAGUAAAGGGAUAGAAAACAAUGGGUCAGAAAAUGCGUUGUUCUUCUGCAAAACAAAAGCUGACGAUUGUCAUUACAUGAGUCACUUUACAUCAUGAGACUGCUGCGUGAUAAAUUCAGAAAAAAUUAAAAAAGAACAAUUUAAUGAUGCUCCCUCCACACUUUGAUAAAUAGAAACAGAUCACAUCUAAUGUGGACAUAUCAGACAUCUUGUGAAACAGUAAAGGAAAAAUUUAGUUUCUGUCUAUGGCACUUGCCACAUAGAUGUGGGGAGCCUUGCAUCAAUAGUGAUAAUCACCACUGCAUUUAGAAAUUGAACGCAUUCAUGCAGACGAGGAUGAUUCUUUAUAUUUUUGACUACCACUUCAAAUGCCCCCACCAAGUGCUACUAUGCUGCACGCAGCCAUACUAAGGAUUUCACAGCAACACCUGCAGAUAAAAAGCAAAAGCAGUCAAAGUGCUGGUGUAUUCUGGACACCUUAAAAACUUCUAAGCAAGAACAGCACAAGAAGCAGACGUAAGAGCUGCAUUUAUUUCCAUAAUUCCCCAUUUGAAUGGCAUUUUCAUUUUGCUUAGACAAUGCCUACGCCUAGCCACAGCAGCUCCCUCAUGCAGACUCUGCAAGCCAAGAGGCCGUGGAGGCAAAUGCAGGUAAGAGGCAAGAAGCAAUAGCAUCGCUAUUGACAUUAGUCUAAUUUCUUUCUUUUUCUUACGUUUAGGCAGACAGCACAUUUUGAACAGCCACCUUGACUGCGGGUGUGUCAGCAGAUUCCUGUUGUACAUAUGCUCAUAAUAAACGUCAGUAAACUUGAA